rnacentral:rRNA from 1 species
AACGAACGCUGGCGGCAUGCCUAACACAUGCAAGUCGAACGAGACCUUCGGGUCUAGUGGCGCACGGGUGCGUAACGCGUGGGAACCUGCCCUUAGGUUCGGAAUAACUCCCCGAAAGGGGUGCUAAUACCGGAUAAUGUCUUCGGACCAAAGAUUUAUCGCCUUUGGAUGGGCCCGCGUUGGAUUAGCUAGUUGGUAGGGUAAAAGCCUACCAAGGCGACGAUCCAUAGCUGGUCUGAGAGGAUGAUCAGCCACACUGGGACUGAGACACGGCCCAGACUCCUACGGGAGGCAGCAGUGGGGAAUAUUGGACCAUGGGCGAAAGCAUGAUCCAGCAAGGCCGCGUGAGUGAUGAAGGCCUUAGGGUUGUAAAGCUCUUUUACCCGGGAUGAUAAUGACAGUACCGGGAGAAUAAGCUCCGGCUAACUCCGUG